AUCGAACGCUGGCGGCAGGCCUAACACAUGCAAGUCGAACGAGUGGCGGACGGGUGUGAAAUGUCUGGGAAACUGCCUCCUGGAGGGGGAUAACUACUGGAAACGGUAGCUAAUACCGCAUACCAUCGGAUUGGCCCAGCUGGGAUUAGGGAGUAGGUGGGGUAAAGGCUCACCUAGGCGACGAGCCCUAGCCGGUCUGAGAGGAUGACCAGCCACACUGGAACUGAGACACGGUCCAGACUCCUACGGGAGGCAGCAGUGGGGAAUAUUGCACAAUGGGCGCAAGCCUGAUGCAGCCAUGCCGCGUGUAUGAAGAAGGCCUUCGGGUUGUAAAGUACUUUCAGCGGGGAGGCGUUACCCGCAGAAGAAGCACCGGCUAACUCCGUGCCAGCAGCCGCGGUAAUUC
rnacentral:rRNA from 1 species